CCAGGCCAUGGUCUUCCCAGAUAAGCUGUAUCUUUCAAGACACAGCUCAGCUGGCAGUGUAGCAAACAGCAGGAACGGGAGGAAAGGCACAGAGGACGAGACCAGAAGGAGAGCUCCAAGAUUGCUGGUGUUUGUGCAGCUCAGCGCUGCUUUAGUGCUGGACCUGGCAGCGUUAAAUUAAUGGCUGGACUCGAUGAUCUUAGAGGUCUUUCCCAACCCUAAUUACACAGCGGUUCCAUGAUUGUUUUCCCGGAAUCCUGGUGCUGUCUCGUUUCCCUGACCGUGCCAGCAAAUCCUCAUACCUAUCUAUAGAUGGCAGCAACUUUCCAAAUCUGCUGCAGGUGCUGAUGAACCGAGGUGGGCUCUGGCUUCCCACGGCCAGGAGUGUUUCACUGCAUGAAACAGGGAAAAAGGGAAAAAACUGCACGUGGAUUUAAUGCUUGGCAAGUUUGGAGUCUUAACAGGGCAUAAAGAGAGACACACCUUCUCCUGGAGGGACACCCUUGUACCUAUCCAUGGAAAAAAAUAAAAUUAUAAAGGCACUGUAGUCUGUCUCACUUGGAAAUCAUGCUUUGGGAAGAUCAUGCAUUGGAACAAUAUCACCCACGACCUCUUUUAAUCACUGCAAGCAAAGAUGAGACUUUUCUUGGCUGGUUCCUGCCUGUGAGCAGGUGGGUCUCCAUGCUAAGCUUGUUAUCCAGGAUCCUUCUGCAGCUGGUGGAGCUUCCCAGGGCAAUCCAUGCUCUGUAAAGAGCUGUGAUGGAUCACCUCUGGAGCUGCUUCUCUCUACUGACUAUUGAGAGAGUCCAGAUGUCUGCACUAAGCCAGAUGCCUCAUUUUCAGAUGGCUAAUGUUAGAUAAAAGAAAUCCAGCUCAAAAGGGAGCAUCAGCCUGUCUUUAUUAUUUUUAUUUACUAUGUUCUUCUCUCUGCUUCAACUUGGUCCUUGUGGAAUAAGGAUAAAGAUACAUUAAUGCUAAUAUGAUGGCCUGCUUAUCAAACCUCCUCUUAUCUGUGCUAAAGGUUGCCCCUGGGACACUUUCAGUGGGAGAAUUGGAGGAUAUUGUUUAGUUAUUCCAAUGCAUUUUCAGAAAUUAAAUUAAAGCACAUGGGUUUUGAGUCUUGCACUUAUGACCUUGCCUCACUUUUAUUUGUUGCGAAAUAAUUUAUUUUAAGUAUCUG
rnacentral:lncRNA from 1 species